UACGGGGGGGGGCAAGCGUUGUUCGGAAUUACUGGGCGUAAAGGGCUCGUAGGCGGCCAACUAAGUCAGACGUGAAAUCCCUCGGCUUAACCGGGGAACUGCAUCUGAUACUGGAUGGCUUGAGUUCGGGAGAGGGAUGUGGAAUUCCAGGUGUAGCGGUGAAAUGCGUAGAUAUCUGGAGGAACACCGGUGGCGAAGGCGGCAUCCUGGACCGACACUGACGCUGAUGAGCGAAAGCCAGGGGAGCAAAGCGGG
rnacentral:rRNA from 1 species